rnacentral:rRNA from 1 species
UACGUAGGGUGCAGGCGUUAAUCGGAAUUACUGGGCGUAAAGCGUGCGCAGGCGGUUUGCUAAGACAGGUGUGAAAUCCCCGGGCUUAACCUGGGAACUGCGCUUGUAACUGGCAAGCUAGAGUGUGGCAGAGGGGGGUGGAAUUCCACGUGUAGCAGUGAAAUGCGUAGAGAUGUGGAGGAACACCGAUGGCGAAGGCGGCCCCCUGGGCUAACACUGACGCUCAUGCACGAAAGCGUGGGGAGCAAACAGG